GGCCCGAUAAUCUAAAAAAAGAUAUUUCGCUGUAAACGAAAACAUAAGAAUCAUAUCUUUCUAGCCA
rnacentral:tRNA from 1 species